rnacentral:rRNA from 1 species
UACUUUGGUGGCGACCGGCGCACGGGUGCGUAACGCGUAUGCAACCUACCUUUAACAGGGGCAUAACACUGAGAAAUUGGUACUAAUUCCCCAUAACAUUCGAGAAGGCAUCUUCCUGGGUUAAAAACUCCGGUGGUUAAAGAUGGGCAUGCGUUGUAUUAGCUAGUUGGUGAGGUAACGGCUCACCAAGGCAACGAUACAUAGGGGGACUGAGAGGUUAACCCCCCCACAUUGGUACUGAGACACGGACCAAACUCCUACGGAAGGCAGCAG